AUACGGAGGGUGCAAGCGUUGUUCGGAAUUACUGGGCGUAAAGCGCACGUAGGCGGAUUAAAAAGUUAGAGGUGAAAUCCCAGGGCUUAACCCUGGAACUGCCUUUAAAACUAGUAGUCUAGAGUUCGAGAGAGGUGAGUGGAAUUCCAAGUGUAGAGGUGAAAUUCGUAGAUAUUUGGAGGAACACCAGUGGCGAAGGCGGCUCACUGGCUCGAUACUGACGCUGAGGUGCGAAAGCGUGGGGAGCAAACAGGAUUAGAAACCCGAGUAGUCC
rnacentral:rRNA from 1 species